GUAGUCGUGGCCGAGUGGUUAAGGCGAUGGACUUGAAAUCCAUUGGGGUGUCCCCGCGCAGGUUCGAAUCCUGCCGACUACG
rfam:Sus scrofa chromosome 7.